UAGGGUGUAGCUCAGUGGUGGGGCACUUGCCUGCCAUGCAUAAGGACCUGGGUUCAAUCCCAGCAACUUCC
rnacentral:tRNA from 1 species